rnacentral:rRNA from 1 species
AGACCGGCGUGAGCCAGGUCGGUUUCUAUCUAGAAUUCAAAAAUAAACAAAAACCAAUUUACCUUCUAGUACGAAAGGAUCGAAGGGUUUGUAUCCUCUGGUGAUUCAAUCCGAACACGAGACCUUUUACGGUCUCCAGGGGAAUCUUUUGGUUCCCGUUGUUGAGUAGCUACGAUAUAAAGAAUAAUUGCUGAAUGCAACUCAAGCAAGAAAUCUUUGGUUCGAAAAUUUUUAGUUUUCCGGGGAUCCAACGGAUCCCCUGUUGGCUUUAAAUUUUGUUUAAAAACAAUUGGGGUAGAUCACCCCG